CGAGUUUUGCUGUUUUCGUCGUCGCGUUUUCUUGGAUUUUCU
rnacentral:sRNA from 1 species